GUUGAUUUGUCGAUGUAAAUUUGUUUCCAGCUGUCGUUUACAAGAUUGUAUAGCAGUUUCACUUAGAUUUUCUACAUGAGGUCCUAGAUUUUCAUCUCUACUAUUUUCUUUGUGGUUGUUUUGAUUGUCUUUCGAAUAUUUAUUUAUUAGAUUUUCAUGUCUAGUUUAUUUUGUCAGUUAUUGAGUUAAUGUCUUGUGGCUAUUUGUAGGAGGACAAGGUUUUCAGAGAAUUAGUAAUCUCAAAAUCGGCUAGAGGUCUGCUCCAUAUGGAUUUUGAUGAAUGUGCAACAUCAAAGGUACAAUUGAUAACCCAAACAUAUAUAUGUCAUGAGAUUCACAAUUACAUGUUACAAAGGAAUAAUUUCCAUGUGCAUCAGAAUACGAAACCAAUAUUAAAGGUUUAAAGUGCUUAAAUGAUAGGGAAAAAGUUCUUAAUAUAUAUUUUAACUACGUGAUUGGGUAUUGAGAUGUCAUGUAAAUGUGUUAGCCUAUGCUAACAUUGUUUUCAUUUAAAGAUGAAGCUAAUAUUCUUUUUGGUACUGUGAGAUAUGUUAUGGAAUUUUAAUAUACUAUUCUAUUUUACAUUUGAUUGAUCACCGAAUCAUAGAGUAUUUAUGAUAUGAUGGUCUAAAGUAACCAGAGGUUGAGCUUCUUAACAGAGGAGGGAGUUUUAUGUAAAUGAUGUUUCCAUGAUGGGGUUUGAGGUUUUGGUCUUCUUUGUAUUAAAAAAAUAAUGUAUUUGUUGAAGCUAAAGAUAGGAUUCGAAAGCAUUAUUUUACAUUUUUGAUUGGUAACCUUUUCAGAUUUGUUAAUUUCAUUUUGGUUCUUGGCUUCCUAUUAAACUUUGUCUUGUUAGUAAUUCAACUGGGAGAAUGCAGUCAGAAUGUUUAGUGUGAGCACGCAGAACUGUUGUACUUUUG
rnacentral:lncRNA from 1 species